UUUAAUGAACUUCUCAAGCAAG
rnacentral:misc_RNA from 1 species